rnacentral:tRNA from 1 species
AAUAUGAUGCCUGAUAAAAGGCCUGCCUUGAUAGGGCAAAUCAUGUAGGCUGUCCUACUCAUAUUA